ensembl:snoRNA
GAUCAGUGAUAGGAAUCGCCAAAUCUGAGCAUCAGAAGUCAUUCCAGUUUGCCUGAUACGUGAGCUCUAGUCCUGAGA